rnacentral:rRNA from 1 species
AUUGAACGCUGGCGGCAUGCCUUACACAUGCAAGUCGAACGGCAGCACGGGUGCUUGCACCUGGUGGCGAGUGGCGAACGGGUGAGUAAUACAUCGGAACAUGUCCUGUAGUGGGGGAAAGCCGGGGAAAAGCGGGUUAAAUACGGCAAACGAUUAAGGGAGAAAAGGGGGGGCCUUCGGGCCCCCGGCCUAAGGGGUUGCCGGAUGGCGGAUUAGCUAGUGGGUGGGGUAAAGGCCUACCAAGGCGACGAUCAGUAGCUGGUCUGAGAGGACGACCAGCCACACUGGGACUGAGACACGGCCCAGACUCCUACGGGAGGCAGCAGUGGGGAAUUUUGGACAAUGGGCGAAAGCCUGAUCCAGCAAUGCCGCGUGUGUGAAGAAGGCCUUCGGGUUGUAAAGCACUUUUGUCCGGAAAGAAAUCCUUGGCCCUAAUACGGUCGGGGGAUGACGGUACCGGAAGAAUAAGCACCGGCUAACUACGUG